rnacentral:rRNA from 1 species
CCAUGCAAGUCGUACGGGGGAGGGAGCAACCCCUUGAGAGUGGCGAACGGGUGAGUAAUAUAUCGGAACGUGCCCAGUCGUGGGGGAUAACGUAGCGAAAGUUACGCUAAUACCGCAUACGAUCUACGGAUGAAAGCGGGGGAUCGCAAGACCUCGCGCGACUGGAGCGGCCGAUAUCAGAUUAGGUAGUUGGUGGGGUAAAGGCUCACCAAGCCAACGAUCUGUAGCUGGUCUGAGAGGACGACCAGCCACACUGGAACUGAGACACGGUCCAGACUCCUACGGGAGGCAGCAGUGGGGAAUUUUGGACAAUGGACGCAAGUCUGAUCCAGCCAUUCCGCGUGCAGGAUGAAGGCCCUCGGGUUGUAAACUGCUUUUGUACGGAACGAAAAGGUCUCUCCUAAUACGAGAGGCUCAUGACGGUACCGUAAGAAUAAGCACCGGCUAACUACGUGCCAGCAGCCGCGGUAAUACGUAGGGUGCAAGCGUUAAUCGGAAUUACUGGGCGUAAAGCGUGCGCAGGCGGUUAUAUAAGACAGAUGUGAAAUCCCCGGGCUCAACCUGGGAACUGCAUUUGUGACUGUAUAGCUAGAGUACGGUAGAGGGGGAUGGAAUUCCGCGUGUAGCAGUGAAAUGCGUAGAUAUGCGGAGGAACACCGAUGGCGAAGGCAAUCCCCUGGACCUGUACUGACGCUCAUGCACGAAAGCGUGGGGAGCAAACAGGAUUAGAUACCCUGGUAGUCCACGCCCUAAACGAUGUCAACUGGUUGUUGGGUCUUAACUGACUCAGUAACGAAGCUAACGCGUGAAGUUGACCGCCUGGGGAGUA